rnacentral:rRNA from 1 species
UACGUAGGUGGCGAGCGUUGUCCGGAUUUACUGGGCGUAAAGAGCGCGCAGGCGGUCGUACAAGUCGCGUGUGAAAGCCCCCGGCUCAACUGGGGAGGGUCACGCGAUACUGUUCGACUCGAAGGCAGGAGAGGGAAGUGGAAUUCCCGGUGUAGUGGUGAAAUGCGUAGAUAUCGGGGAGGAACACCAGUGGCGAAGGCGACUUCCUGGCCUGUUCUUGACGCUGAGGCGCGAAAGCUAGGGGAGCAAACGGG